rnacentral:lncRNA from 1 species
UAAAGUUGCUUCGUUUUUUUUUAACCAAAUUUGAGUUGAUUAGUUUUAAAAACUGAACUCAAAAUUAAGACAUAGGCAAUUUGUUAAAAACACCAAAAUGAGUUUUUGAUUUCUUUUAACUUAACAAACCUCUAUUGAUCUCUAAUUUAUUCCGCUCUCCGAAUCUUCUCUCUCCUCAUCAAUGAAUCUUCUCUCUCCUCAUCAAUUUCUACUAAUCUCUCUCUUCU